UGCUAUACCCUCUAAAAACAAAAUCUUCAUUUAUUUGAAGACACAAUUCUCUGUACGGGCACUUGCCAUGACUUUAUUUUUGAAUAUUUCUGUGUUCAUGUGGUAGGGAAAACAUUGUUGUAUACUACAAAUUCCCUGUUUUGCUUUUAGGUUGGAGACUACAUAAGACUUUGACAGUUGGCGGGAAACCAUCAUCAACUGGAGAGAUGCCGGAAGAGGAAUGUCUGCGACUAAGUCAAGGGCCACUGGAUAAGGGUUGUUGAUGGCAAAACAGGUUGGAGACUACAUAAGACUUUGACAGUUGGCGGGAAACCAUCAUCAACUGGAGAGAUGCCGGAAGAGGAAUGUCUGCGACUAAGUCAAGGGCCACUGGAUAAGGGUUGUUGAUGGCAAAACAGGUUGGAGACUACAUAAGACUUUGACAGUUGGCGGGAAACCAUCAUCAACUGGAGAGAUGCCGGAAGAGGAAUGUCUGCGACUAAGUCAAGGGCCACUGGAUAAGGGUUGUUGAUGGCAAAACAGGUUGGAGACUACAUAAGACUUUGACAGUUGGCGGGAAACCAUCAUCAACUGGAGAGAUGCCGGGU